CCAAAUUUAGUUAUGAUCUAAGCCGUGCGAGUCAUUGUAGAAUACAUGGCAGACGGCUCAGUAACACGUCCUCUUAAACUCUAUGGACGGGAAUAACCUCGGGAAACUGACCCUUUAACCGAUAGAACAUUAUGCCUGGAAUGGUUUAUGUUCCAAAUGAUUUAUCGCCGUAGGAUGGGACGUGCCCCCUAUCAUUUUGUUGGUGAGGUAAUGGCCCACCAACACUAUUACAGGUACGGGCUCUGAUAGGAGUGGCCCGGAGAUGGGUACUGAUGACACGGACCCAGGCCCUAUGGGGCGCAUCAGGCGAGAAAACUUUGCAAUGUGCGAAAGCACGACAAGGAUAAUCCGAGUGGUUUCUGCUAAAGAAACCUUUUGUCGGUCCUAGAAACACCGAUGAAUAAGGGGAGAUUUAGUUCUGGUGUCAGCCCGCCGGGUAAAAACAGCACCUCAAGUGGGCAGGAUGAUUAUUGUGCCUAAAGAAUCCGUAGCCGGCUCUGUUAGUUUUCGGUUAAAUCUGGACGCUCAACGGACAGGCUGCCGGGAAUACUGCAGAGCUGGGGAGUGGGAGAAGUAGACGGUACUCGGUAAGAAGGGGUAAUAUUCUUUGAUCUAUUGAUGACCACCUGUGGCGAAGGCGGGCUACCAGAAAAACUUCCUACGGGGAGGGAUGAAAGUUGGGGGAAGCAACCGGAUAAUAUCCCCGGGGUAGUCCCAGCUGAAAACUAUGGCAAACUCAGUGAUGCAUUGGCUUGGUGGCCAAUUGCCGUGUUGGAGGGAAACCCGUUUAAGUUUGCCCGCCCGGGGAAGGUACGUACCGCAAGUAUGAAAACUCAAAGGAAAUU
rnacentral:rRNA from 1 species